rnacentral:rRNA from 1 species
GUUGUUUUUCUGUCGUAAUUUUGAAGGUGAUCAUUUCUUCGGGAAUGGUUUUAUAGCGGAUUACAUGGUUAAAUGAUUUAUUGGUGAUUCGCGAUUAACAACAUUUGAUUAGGUUAAUGUUGAUAGAGCUGUGAUAGACUAAUAAUAGGCUAUUGUGGUUUUGUUGAUGUUCAUCAGGAUUGAUAUGUUAAUCUAAAGUCUGCAGUGUAUGUAGGUUACUUACUCGUCCCGUCUUGAAACACGGACCAAGGAGUUUUAUAUGAUCGCGAGUCAAAGGGCCUUACGAAACCCCACGGCGCAAUUAAUGUGAAGGCUUAUUUCGGUAAGCUGAGAUGUGACCUCGUGGAAACACAGAGUGCAACAUCGACCCGUCUACAAAUGUUCGCAUUUGGGCGGAGUUUGAGCGAUCAUGUAGAGACCCGAAAGAUGGUGAACUAUGCUUGUGCAGGUUGAAGCCAGAGGAAACUCUGGUGGAGGACCGCCGCGGUUCUGACGUGCAAAUCGAUCGUCGGACAUGAGUAUAGGGGCGAAAGACUAAUCGAACCAUCUAGUAGCUGGUUCCCUCCGAAGUUUCCCUCAGGAUAGCUGACAUUUGUUGUUGUAGUUUUACCCGGUAAAGCGAAUGAUUAGAAGUAUUGGGGACGAAAUGUUCUCAACUUAUUCUCAAACUUUAAAUGGGUUCGAAGUGUGUCUUUCUUCAUUGAAGAUGUGCAUCGAAUACAAGUGUCUAGUGGGCCAUUUUUGGUAAGCAGAACUGGCGAUGUGGGAUGAACCAAACAUCUGGUUAAGGUGCCUAACAUAACGCUCAUGAGAACCCAAAAAAGGUGUUGUUUGAUAAAGACAGCAGGACGGUGGACAUGGAAGUCGUCAUCCGCUAAGGAGUGUGUAACAACUCACCUGCCGAAUCAACCAGCCCUGAAAAUGGAUGGCGCUGUAGCGUUGGACCUAUACCGG